UGCAGUCGAGGGGCAGCAUGAACUUAGCUUGCUAAGUUUGAUGGCGACCGGCGCACGGGUGAGUAACACGUAUCCAACCUGCCGAUGACUCGGGGAUAGCCUUUCGAAAGAAAGAUUAAUACCCGAUGGCAUAGUUCUUCCGCAUGGUAGAACUAUUAAAGAAUUUCGGUCAUCGAUGGGGAUGCGUUCCAUUAGGUUGUUGGCGGGGUAACGGCCCACCAAGCCUUCGAUGGAUAGGGGUUCUGAGAGGAAGGUCCCCCACAUUGGAACUGAGACACGGUCCAAACUCCUACGGGAGGCAGCAGUGAGGAAUAUUGGUCAAUGGACGAGAGUCUGAACCAGCCAAGUAGCGUGAAGGAUGACUGCCCUAUGGGUUGUAAACUUCUUUUAUACGGGAAUAAAGUGAGGCACGUGUGCCUUUUUGUAUGUACCGUAUGAAUAAGGAUCGGCUAACUCCGUGCCAGCAGCCGCGGUAAUACGGAGGAUCCGAGCGUUAUCCGGAUUUAUUGGGUUUAAAGGGAGCGU
rnacentral:rRNA from 1 species